GAAUUUUGGACAAUGGGGGAAACCCUGAUCCAGCCAUUCCGCGUGUGCGAUGAAGGCCUUCGGGUUGUAAAGCACUUUUGGCAGGAAAGAAAUCGGUCGGGCUAAUACCCUGAUCGGAUGACGGUACCUGCAGAAUAAGCACCGGCUAACUACGUGCCAGCAGCCGCGGUAAUACGUAGGGUGCAAGCGUUAAUCGGAAUUACUGGGCGUAAAGCGUGCGCAGGCGGUUCGGAAAGAAAGAUGUGAAAUCCCAGGGCUCAACCUUGGAACUGCAUUUUUAACUACCGGGCUAGAGUGUGUCAGAGGGAGGUGGAAUUCCGCGUGUAGCAGUGAAAUGCGUAGAUAUGCGGAGGAACACCGAUGGCGAAGGCAGCCUCCUGGGAUAACACUGACGCUCAGGCACGAAAGCGUGGGGAGCAAACAG
rnacentral:rRNA from 1 species